CUUAGUGGCGACGGGCGAGUAACGCGUGAGCAACCUGCCCUUCAGAGGGGGAACAACAGUUGGAAACGACUGCUAAUACCGCAUAACGGUGCUUUCGGGGGCAUCCCGAGAGCACCAAAGAUUUAUCGCUGAAGGAUGGGCUCGCGUCCGAUUAGAUAGUUGGUGGGGUAAACGGCCUACCAAGUCGACGAUCGGUAGCCGAACUGAGAGGGUGAACGGCCACAUUGGGACUGAGACACGGCCCAGACUCCUACGGGAGGCAGCAGUCGGGAAUAUUGCACAAUGGAGGAAACUCUGAUGCAGUGACGCCGCGUACAGGAAGAAGGUCUUUGGAUUGUAAACUGUUGUCGAGAGGGAAGAACAAAGACAGUACCUCUGGAGGAAGCUCCGGCAACUACGUG
rnacentral:rRNA from 1 species